rnacentral:rRNA from 1 species
UACGGAAGGUCCUGGCGUUAUCCGGAUUUAUUGGGUUUAAAGGGAGCGUAGGCGGAAGCUUAAGCGUGCUGUGAAAUGUACCGGCUCAACCGGUGACGUGCAGCGUGAACUGGGUUUCUUGAGUGUGCUGAAGGAAGGCGGAAUUCGUGGUGUAGCGGUGAAAUGCUUAGAUAUCACGAAGAACUCCGAUUGCGAAGGCAGCUUUCCGUAGCAUUACUGACGCUGAAGCUCGAAAGCGCGGGUAU